AGAGUUUGAUCCUGGCUCAGGAUGAACGCUAGCUACAGGCUUAACACAUGCAAGUCGAGGGGCAGCAUGUUGGUUGCUUGCAACCAACGAUGGCGACCGGCGCACGGGUGAGUAACGCGUAUCCAACCUACCCUUGUCCAUCGGAUAACCCGUCGAAAGGCGGCCUAACACGAUAUGCGGUUCACAGCAGGCAUCUAACGUGAACGAAAUGUAAAGGAGAAGGAUGGGGAUGCGUCUGAUUAGCUUGUUGGCGGGGUAACGCCACAAGGCGACGAUCAGUAGGGGUUCUGAGAGGAAGGUCCCCCANAUUGGAACUGAGACACGGUCCAAACGUCCUACGGGAGGCA
rnacentral:rRNA from 1 species